GUAGAAGUAUGGAGGGUGAGGCCUGCCCAAUGGUUGUAUCUAAAAGGGUCGGUAAGGGCCGACUACAUAAAGACAAUUGAAUGGCCGCGGUAACACUGACCGUGAUAAUGUAGCGUAAUCAAUAGCCAAUUAAUUGUUGGCCGGUAUGAAUGGCGUCACGAAGGCCCCACUGUCUUAAGAAGACUCCCAGUGAAAUUGAAUUCGUAGUGAAGAUGCUACGUCCAAAUUGUUAGACGAAGAGACCCCAUUGAGCUUUACUGGAAACUUAUGCGGCGGCAAUCUAUUUCGCUUAUAAAGACGGACCUCGACGGGACCUAUUAAGAGCGAGGAGUUUAAACUUAAAUAAAUAGCUAAAAUUUCGUGGCGUUAGGCAUUUCGUCAGGGUCUUGUCCCUCGAUCCUACUCUCAUAGAGAGAUAACCGUUUUAGACCAUCGGCUGAGGCCGAAGGACAAUGGCACCCACCCUUUUAUUUUAAGAGAGCUAACUCUCUUUCAUGGUUUUUUAAUGAUGGGAGGAACGACGUAAGUUAGACAGUUUGGUUGGGGCGACCGCCUUUUAAAAAGUAACGAAGGUGAGCUUAAGGUGCAUAAUUAAUAGCAGUAGCCUGACUGCAAGGGGUACGCCCCAAGCAGACACCAGGAGCCGUUAAGAACCAUCGUCCGACCCGGGCCUUUUGGCCUCCUGGGCGGUUGCUAAUCUGUAACACAGAUUUAGAUACCGAUUCUUAGAGCGGUAGAAGGUGGGCUAUAAUGACCCGUUAAUUUAGAGUGGGAUAGUUAACGAUCAACGGAUAAAAGCUACCAUGGGGAUAACAGCGUUAUAUCGUUCGAGAGCUUUCAUUGACGACGAUGUUUGCGACCUCGAUGUUGAAUUGCAGCAUCCUGGGGUGCAGUCGCUCCCAAGGGUUGGUCU
rnacentral:rRNA from 1 species